UGAUCUUAGCAUAUCAUAAGCGGAAGGAAAAGAAACCUAACAAGGAUUCCCCUAGUAACGGCGAGUGAAGCGGGAUGAGCUCAAAUUUAAAAUCUGGCUGGUUUACUAGUCGAAUUGUAGUUUAAAGAAGCGUUUUCGGUGGCAGCCUGGGUAUAAAUCCUUUGGAACAGGGUAUCAUAGAGGGUGAGAUCCCGUCUUUGACUCAGUGCAUGCUACUAUGUGAUACGUUUUCAAAGAGUCGAGUUGUUUGGGAAUGCAGCUCAAAAUGGGUGGUAAAUUUCAUCUAAAGCUAAAUAUUGGCGAGAGACCGAUAGCGAACAAGUACCGUGAGGGAAAGAUGAAAAGAACUUUGAAAAGAGAGUUAAACAGUGCGUGAAAUUGUUGAAAGGGAAACGCUUGACACCAGUCAUGCGAGCGGAAAAUCAGUCUUUUGCAGUGGGGAGUUGUGUGGGUUCGGACCGCAAGGCCGGCCUGCGCUGCAUCUCUGCUGUAAGUGAUGCACUUUUUCGUUUGCAGGCCAACAUCAGUUUCUUCUGCUGGACAAAACUCUUGAGAAGGUGGCAGCUUAGGCUGUGUUAUAGCUCUUGAGCGAUACAGUGGAGGGGACUGAGGUUUUCGCAGCGCGUGCUCUCGGGCAAGGCUGAUUGGGUGCUAUGGGAUCGUUCGGUGUACAAUGCAUGCAUUUUGCGCCGUGUCUUUUCUAUACUCGCUCAACUCGGCUCUUCCGCGCUUAGGAUGUUGGCUUAAUGGUUUUAAUCGACCCGUCUUGAAACACGGACCAAGGAGUCUAACAUAUAUGCAAGUGUUUGGGUGGCAAACCCAUGCGCGUAAUGAAAGUGAACGUAGGUGCGAUCCGCAAGGUGCAGCAUCGACCGAUCUUGAUAUUUUUGGAUAGAUUUGAGUAAGAGCAUAUAUGCUGGGACCCGAAAGAUGGUGAACUAUGCCUGAAUAGGGUGAAGCCAGAGGAAACUCUGGUGGAGGCUCGUAGCGAUUCUGACGUGCAAAUCGAUCGUCAAAUUUGGGUAUAGGGGCGAAAGACUAAUCGAACCAUCUAGAGCUGCCCC
rnacentral:rRNA from 1 species